GCCUGAGUGGCUCAGUCGGUUAAGCGUCCGACUUUGGCUCAGGUCAUGAUCUCGCGGUCCGUGAGUUCGAGCCCCACAUCGGGCU
rnacentral:tRNA from 1 species